rnacentral:rRNA from 1 species
GACGAACGCUGGCGGCGUGCCUAAUACAUGCAAGUAGAACGCUGAAGGAGGAGCUUGCUUCUCUGGAUGAGUUGCGAACGGGUGAGUAACGCGUAGGUAACCUGCCUGGUAGCGGGGGAUAACUAUUGGAAACGAUAGCUAAUACCGCAUAAUAGCAGUUGUUGCAUGACAACUGUUUGAAAGGUGCAAUUGCACCACUACCAGGUGGACCUGCGUUGUAUUAGCUAGUUGGUGGGGUAACGGCUCACCAAGGCGACGAUACAUAGCCGACCUGAGAGGGUGAUCGGCCACACUGGGACUGAGACACGGCCCAGACUCCUACGGGAGGCAGCAGUAGGGAAUCUUCGGCAAUGGACGGAAGUCUGACCGAGCAACGCCGCGUGAGUGAAGAAGGUUUUCGGAUCGUAAAGCUCUGUUGUAAGAGAAGAACGAGUGUGAGAGUGGAAAGUUCACACUGUGACGGUAUCUUACCAGAAAGGGACGGCUAACUACGUG